rnacentral:rRNA from 1 species
CCUACGGUGUGCAGCAGUGGGGAAUAUUGCACAAUGGGGGAACCCCUGAUGCAGCGACGCCGCGUGAAGGACGCAGUAUUUCGGUAUGUACACUUCUAUCAGCAGGGAAGAAAAUGACGUUACCUGACUAAGAAGCCCCGGCUACCUACGUGCCAGCAGCCGCGGUCAUACGUAGGGGGCCAGCGUUAUCCGGAUUUACUGGGUGUACAGGGAGCAUAGGCGGUUUAGCACGUCAGAAGUGAAAGCCCGGGGCUCAACUCCGGGACUGCUUUUGAAACGGUUGAACUAGAUUGCAGGAGAGGUAAGUGGAAUUCCUAGUGUAGCGGUGAAAUGCGUAGAUAUUAGGAGGAACACCAGUGGCGAAGGCGGCUUACUGGACUGUAAAUGACGCUGAGGCUCGAAAGCGUGGGGAGCAAACAGGAUGAGAUACCCGAGUAGUC